rnacentral:rRNA from 1 species
GUCCUAGCCCUAAACGAUGAACACUUGGCGCGGCGGGUUUCAAUACCUGCUGUGCCGGAGCAAACGCGUUAAGUGUUCCGCCUGGGGAGUACGGUCGCAAGGCUGAAACUAAAAGGAAUUGACGGGGGCCCGCACAAGCGGUGGAGAAUGUGGUUCAAUUCGACGCAACGCGAAGAACCUUACCUGGGCUCGAAGCGCAGUGGAAGUCGGCUGAAAGGCCGCUGCCCGCAAGGGCCGCUGCGGAGGUGCUGCAUGGCUGUCGU